rnacentral:sRNA from 1 species
ACCGCGGCUUCCUUCCGUCUCGCCCCGAGUUUCCCUCUGCGUUCGCUGCGCGCUGCUGGAGGCUGUGGUCGCAAUGCUCCCCAAACGGCGGCGAGGGCGGAUCGAGUCCCCUAGCGGCGAUGCCGUUUCCUCCACGCCGCCCUCGACGCGCUUCCCCGGAGUCGCCAUCUACCUGGUCGAGCCUCGCAUGGGUCGCAGCCGCCGGGCCUUCCUCACACGCCUGGCGCGCUCCAAAGGCUUCCGCGUCCUUGACGCCUGCAGCUCCGAAGCAACACAUGUUGUGAUGGAAGAGACCUCAGCAGAGGAGGCCGUCAGCUGGCAGGAGCGCAGGAUGGCAGCUGCUCCCCCGGGUUGCACCCCCCCAGCUCUGCUGGACAUAAGCUGGUUAACAGAGAGCCUGGGAGCUGGGCAGCCUGUACCUGUGGAGUGCCGGCACCGCCUGGAGGAGGCUCUAGAGACACUGGCCGAGGCAGCGGGCUUUGAAGGCAGUGAGGGCCGCCUCCUCACCUUCUGCAGAGCAGCCUCGGUGCUCAAGGCCCUUCCCAGCCCUGUCACAACCCUGAGCCAGCUGCAGGGGCUUCCCCACCUUGGAGAACACUCCUCUAGGGUUGUCCAGGAGCUGCUGGAGCAUGGAGUGUGUGAGGAGGUGGAGAGAGUUCGGCGCUCAGAGAGGUACCAGACCAUGAAGGUACACAGGGCGGGGCUCGGACCUGCCCCAGGAAUGUCCUGCCCUGGGAAUGACAACACAGUCCACACCAUGCACGGGGAGGCAAGCAGAGGCAGCUGACCCAGCCCAGGGGUCAGAGAAGGUCUUGCUGAGGAAGUGGCAGCUAAGCUGACACCUGAUAUGCACAAGGCAGCCAAGUGGAGACAGGCAAGGAAGAAGCUUGUUUUGAGGACAGAAUUUUCUAGAUCACUCAGCACCAUCUGGCUUUUGGGGGUUUUUGUUUUAUUUUGUU